rnacentral:rRNA from 1 species
UACGGGGGGGGCAAGCGUUGUUCGGAAUUACUGGGCGUAAAGGGCUCGUAGGCGGCCAACUAAGUCGGAUGUGAAAUCCCCAGGCUUAACCUGGGAACUGCAUCCGAUACUGGAUGGCUUGAAUUCGGGAGAGGGAUGCAGAAUUCCAGGUGUAGCGGUGAAAUGCGUAGAUAUCUGGAGGAACACCGGUGGCGAAGGCGGGUCUCUGGGACGGUACUGACGCUGAGACGCGAAAGCGUGGGGAGCGAACAGG